CACACUAUCAUUAACUGAAUCCAUAGGUUAAUGAGGCGAACCGGGGGAACUGAAACAUCUAAGUACCCCGAGGAAAAGAAAUCAACCGAGAUUCCCCCAGUAGCGGCGAGCGAACGGGGAGCAGCCCAGAGCCUGAAUCAGUGUGUGUGUUAGUGGAAGCGUCUGGAAAGGCGCGCGAUACAGGGUGACAGCCCCGUACACAAAAAUGCACAUGCUGUGAGCUCGAUGAGUAGGGCGGGACACGUGGUAUCCUGUCUGAAUAUGGGGGGACCAUCCUCCAAGGCUAAAUACUCCUGACUGACCGAUAGUGAACCAGUACCGUGAGGGAAAGGCGAAAAGAACCCCGGCGAGGGGAGUGAAAAAGAACCUGAAACCGUGUACGUACAAGCAGUGGGAGCACGCUUAGGCGUGUGACUGCGUACCUUUUGUAUAAUGGGUCAGCGACUUAUAUUCUGUAGCAAGGUUAACCGAAUAGGGGAGCCGAAGGGAAACCGAGUCUUAACUGGGCGUUAAGUUGCAGGGUAUAGACCCGAAACCCGGUGAUCUAGCCAUGGGCAGGUUGAAGGUUGGGUAACACUAACUGGAGGACCGAACCGACUAAUGUUGAAAAAUUAGCGGAUGACUUGUGGCUGGGGGUGAAAGGCCAAUCAAACCGGGAGAUAGCUGGUUCUCCCCGAAAGCUAUUUAGGUAGCGCCUCGUGAAUUCAUCUCCGGGGGUAGAGCACUGUUUCGGCAAGGGGGUCAUCCCGACUUACCAACCCGAUGCAAACUGCGAAUACCGGAGAAUGUUAUCACGGGAGACACACGGCGGGUGCUAACGUCCGUCGUGAAGAGGGAAACAACCCAGACCGCCAGCUAAGGUCCCAAAGUCAUGGUUAAGUGGGAAACGAUGUGGGAAGGCCCAGACAGCCAGGAUGUUGGCUUAGAAGCAGCCAUCAUUUAAAGAAAGCGUAAUAGCUCACUGGUCGAGUCGGCCUGCGCGGAAGAUGUAACGGGGCUAAACCAUGCACCGAAGCUGCGGCAGCGACGCUUAUGCGUUGUUGGGUAGGGGAGCGUUCUGUAAGCCUGCGAAGGUGUGCUGUGAGGCAUGCUGGAGGUAUCAGAAGUGCGAAUGCUGACAUAAGUAACGAUAAAGCGGGUGAAAAGCCCGCUCGCCGGAAGACCAAGGGUUCCUGUCCAACGUUAAUCGGGGCAGGGUGAGUCGACCCCUAAGGCGAGGCCGAAAGGCGUAGUCGAUGGGAAACAGGUUAAUAUUCCUGUACUUGGUGUUACUGCGAAGGGGGGACGGAGAAGGCUAUGUUGGCCGGGCGACGGUUGUCCCGGUUUAAGCGUGUAGGCUGGUUUUCCAGGCAAAUCCGGAAAAUCAAGGCUGAGGCGUGAUGACGAGGCACUACGGUGCUGAAGCAACAAAUGCCCUGCUUCCAGGAAAAGCCUCUAAGCAUCAGGUAACAUCAAAUCGUACCCCAAACCGACACAGGUGGUCAGGUAGAGAAUACCAAGGCGCUUGAGAGAACUCGGGUGAAGGAACUAGGCAAAAUGGUGCCGUAACUUCGGGAGAAGGCACGCUGAUAUGUAGGUGAAGUCCCUCGCGGAUGGAGCUGAAAUCAGUCGAAGAUACCAGCUGGCUGCAACUGUUUAUUAAAAACACAGCACUGUGCAAACACGAAAGUGGACGUAUACGGUGUGACGCCUGCCCGGUGCCGGAAGGUUAAUUGAUGGGGUUAGCGCAAGCGAAGCUCUUGAUCGAAGCCCCGGUAAACGGCGGCCGUAACUAUAACGGUCCUAAGGUAGCGAAAUUCCUUGUCGGGUAAGUUCCGACCUGCACGAAUGGCGUAAUGAUGGCCAGGCUGUCUCCACCCGAGACUCAGUGAAAUUGAACUCGCUGUGAAGAUGCAGUGUACCCGCGGCAAGACGGAAAGACCCCGUGAACCUUUACUAUAGCUUGACACUGAACAUUGAGCCUUGAUGUGUAGGAUAGGUGGGAGGCUUUGAAGUGUGGACGCCAGUCUGCAUGGAGCCGACCUUGAAAUACCACCCUUUAAUGUUUGAUGUUCUAACGUUGACCCGUAAUCCGGGUUGCGGACAGUGUCUGGUGGGUAGUUUGACUGGGGCGGUCUCCUCCUAAAGAGUAACGGAGGAGCACGAAGGUUGGCUAAUCCUGGUCGGACAUCAGGAGGUUAGUGCAAUGGCAUAAGCCAGCUUGACUGCGAGCGUGACGGCGCGAGCAGGUGCGAAAGCAGGUCAUAGUGAUCCGGUGGUUCUGAAUGGAAGGGCCAUCGCUCAACGGAUAAAAGGUACUCCGGGGAUAACAGGCUGAUACCGCCCAAGAGUUCAUAUCGACGGCGGUGUUUGGCACCUCGAUGUCGGCUCAUCACAUCCUGGGGCUGAAGUAGGUCCCAAGGGUAUGGCUGUUCGCCAUUUAAAGUGGUACGCGAGCUGGGUUUAGAACGUCGUGAGACAGUUCGGUCCCUAUCUGCCGUGGGCGCUGGAGAACUGAGGGGGGCUGCUCCUAGUACGAGAGGACCGGAGUGGACGCAUCACUGGUGUUCGGGUUGUCAUGCCAAUGGCACUGCCCGGUAGCUAAAUGCGGAAGAGAUAAGUGCUGAAAGCAUCUAAGCACGAAACUUGCCCCGAGAUGAGUUCUCCCUGACUCCUUGAGAGUCCUGAAGGAACGUUGAAGACGACGACGUUGAUAGGCCGGGUGUGUAAGCGCAGCGAUGCGUUGAGCUAACCGGUACUAAUGAACCGUGAGGCUUAACCUU
rnacentral:rRNA from 1 species